GGGGGUGUAUUUGGGUUCGACAGGAUGUAAUAGUAAUUGGGAAUCAUGCCGAUGUCUUAUCUGAUCGUUAAACAGAUAAGAAAAAAUAAACGCAAAUUCUGAAUUAGCUUUAGCUGCUUAGUUAAUUGUAGCUAGGUGGUUUUAGUUUAUCGCUUGCUUUGAGCUAAAGCUGCCUAAUAAUUCAGGCAAGCAUCUUCCUUUGAGUUUUUUUGUGCACUCAAAGUAAGAUUAAAGAGCGCAAAAUCGGAUUCUUGAGGUUUGGCUUUUGCCAAGAGGAUCUUAAAAAUCAAAAAGGGCCUAAGCAUGUAAAAAGUUUCCAACUACGAGACAUUACUGGACGCGGGUUCGAUUCCCGCCACCUCCACCA
rnacentral:tmRNA from 1 species